rnacentral:rRNA from 1 species
GACGAACGCUGGCGGCGUGCUUAACACAUGCAAGUCGAACGAAGAGCGAUGGAAGCUUGCUUCUAUCAAUCUUAGUGGCGAACGGGUGAGUAACGCGUAAUCAACCUGCCCUUCAGAGGGGGACAACAGUUGGAAACGACUGCUAAUACCGCAUACGAUCUAAUCUCGGCAUCGAGGAUAGAUGAAAGGUGGCCUCUACAUGUAAGCUAUCACUGAAGGAGGGGAUUGCGUCUGAUUAGCUAGUUGGAGGGGUAACGGCCCACCAAGGCGAUGAUCAGUAGCCGGUCUGAGAGGAUGAACGGCCACAUUGGGACUGAGACACGGCCCAGACUCCUACGGGAGGCAGCAGUGGGGAAUCUUCCGCAAUGGACGAAAGUCUGACGGAGCAACGCCGCGUGAGUGAUGACGGCCUCGGUUGUAAA